rnacentral:rRNA from 1 species
UACGAAGGGGGCUAGCGUUGUUCGGAAUCACUGGGCGUAAAGCGCACGUAGGCGGAUCGUUAAGUCGGGGGUGAAAUCCCAGGGCUCAACCCUGGAACUGCCUUCGAUACUGGCGAUCUUCGAGUCCGGGAGAGGUGAGUGGAACUCCGAGUGUAGAGGUGAAAUUCGUAGAUAUUCGGAAGAACACCAGUGGCGAAGGCGGCUCACUGGGACGGUAGUUGACGCUGAGACGCGAAAGCGUGGGGAGCAAACAGGG